rnacentral:rRNA from 1 species
AUUGAACGCUGGCGGCAGGCCUAACACAUGCAAGUCGAACGGUAACAGGAAGCAGCUUGCUGCUUCGCUGACGAGUGGCGGACGGGUGAGUAAUGUCUGGGAAACUGCCUGAUGGAGGGGGAUAACUACUGGAAACGGUAGCUAAUACCGCAUAACGUCGCAAGACCAAAGAGGGGGACCUUAGGGCCUCUUGCCAUCGGAUGUGCCCAGAUGGGUUUAGCUAGUAGGUGGGGUAACGGCUCACCUAGGCGACGAUCCCUAGCUGGUCUGAGAGGAUGACCAGCCACACUGGAACUGAGACACGGUCCAGACUCCUACGGGAGGCAGCAGUGGGGAAUAUUGCACAAUGGGCGCAAGCCUGAUGCAGCCAUGCCGCGUGUAUGAAGAAGGCCUUCGGGUUGUAAAGUACUUUCAGCGGGGAGGAAGGGAGUAAAGUUAAUACCUUUGCUCAUUGACGUUACCCGCAGAAGAAGCACCGGCUAACUCCGUG